rnacentral:rRNA from 1 species
GACGAACGCUGGCGGCGUGCUUAACACAUGCAAGUCGAACGGAAAGGCCCUGCUUUUGUGGGGUGCUCGAGUGGCGAACGGGUGAGUAACACGUGAGUAACCUGCCCUUGACUUUGGGAUAACUUCAGGAAACUGGGGCUAAUACCGGAUAGGAGCUCCUGCUGCAUGGUGGGGGUUGGAAAGUUUCGGCGGUUGGGGAUGGACUCGCGGCUUAUCGGCCUGUUGGUGAGGUAGUGGCUUACCAAGGCUUUGACGGGUAGCCGGCCUGGGAGGGUGACCGGCCACAUUGGGACUAAGAGACGGCCCAGACUGCUACGGGAGGCAGCAGGGGGGAAUAUUGCGCAGUGGGCGGAAGCGUGAUGCAGCAGCGCCGCGUGCGGGAUGACGGCCUUCGGGUUGUGAACCGCUGUCGCCUGUAACGAGGCGUGAGUGACGGUAAUGGGUAAGGAAGCACCGGCUAACUACGUG